rnacentral:rRNA from 1 species
UACGAAGGAUCCAAGCGUUAUCCGGAUUUAUUGGGUUUAAAGGGUGCGUAGGCGGCCUAUUAAGUCAGUGGUGAAAGCCUGAUGCUCAACAUCAGAACUGCCAUUGAUACUGAUGGGCUUGAAUACACUUGAGGAGGGCGGAAUGUGUCAUGUAGCGGUGAAAUGCUUAGAUAUGACACAGAACACCGAUUGCGAAGGCAGCUCUCUAAGGUGUUAUUGACGCUGAGGCACUAAAGCGUGGGGAGCAAAC